rnacentral:rRNA from 1 species
UCGAUUAGAGUUUGAUCAUGGCUCAGGACGAACGCUGGCGGCGUGCUUAACACAUGCAAGUCGAGCGGGGGCUUCGGCCCCAGCGGCGAACGGGUGAGUAACACGUGGGCAACCUGCCCCGAGCACUGGGAUAACCCCGGGAAACCGGGGCUAAUACCGGAUACGACCGCGACAGGCAUCUGUCACGGUGGAAAGGUUUUCUGGCUCGGGAUGGGCCCGCGGCCUAUCAGCUUGUUGGUGGGGUAACGGCCCACCAAGGCGACGACGGGUAGCCGGCCUGAGAGGGCGACCGGCCACACUGGGACUGAGACACGGCCCAGACUCCUACGGGAGGCAGCAGUGGGGAAUAUUGCGCAAUGGGCGAAAGCCUGACGCAGCGACGCCGCGUGAGGGAUGAAGGCCUUCGGGUUGUAAACCUCUUUCAGCAGGGACGAAGCGAAAGUGACGGUACCUGCAGAAGAAGCACCGGCCAACUACGUGCCAGCAGCCGCGGUAAUACGUAGGGUGCAAGCGUUGUCCGGAAUUAUUGGGCGUAAAGAGCUCGUAGGCGGCCUGUUACGUCGGCUGUGAAAACCCGAGGCUCAACCUCGGGCCUGCAGUCGAUACGGGCAGGCUAGAGUCCGGUAGGGGAGACUGGAAUUCCUG